rnacentral:rRNA from 1 species
AACGAACGCUGGCGGCAUGCCUAACACAUGCAAGUCGAACGAGACCUUCGGGUCUAGUGGCGCACGGGUGCGUAACGCGUGGGAACCUGCCCUUAGGUUCGGAAUAACUCCCCGAAAGGGGUGCUAAUACCGGAUAAUGUCUUCGGACCAAAGAUUUAUCGCCUUUGGAUGGGCCCGCGUUGGAUUAGCUAGUUGGUAGGGUAAAAGCCUACCAAGGCGACGAUCCAUAGCUGGUCUGAGAGGAUGAUCAGCCACACUGGGACUGAGACACGGCCCAGACUCCUACGGGAGGCAGCAGUGGGGAAUAUUGGACAAUGGACGAAAGCCUAAUACAGCAAUGCCGCGUGAGUGAUGAAGGCCUUAGGGUUGUAAAGCUCUUUUACCCGGGAUGAUAAUGACAGUACCGGGAGAAUAAGCACCGGCUAACUCCGUG